UCGAGCGGUUAAUCGGAAUUACUGGGCGUAAAGCGCAUGCAGGUGGUUGUUAAGUCUAGAUGUGAAAGCCCGGGGCUCAACCUCGGAAUUGCAUUUGAAACUGGCAGACUAGAGUACUGUAGAGGGGGUAGGAAUUUCAGGUGUAGCGGUGAAAAUGCGUAGAGAUCUGAAGGAAUACCGGUGGCGAAGGCGGCCCCCUGGACAGAUACUGACACUCAGAUGCGAAAAGCGUGGGGAGCAAACAGGAUUAGAUACCCUGGUAG
rnacentral:rRNA from 1 species